AGGAAUAGCAGAUCAAAUUGUGGUACUGUUGAAAAUUUCGAGCACUGUCAGGGUUAUUUACGUCUAUAGAACCGUUUUAGCAUAUAUACAAAGCGCGGGAAAGACGCCCGAGGCCCUCAGUCGCUCGCUGUCACAGCGGAUCCACUUUCAGUUUCAGAUCACAAAGGCCUUCAGAAAAACCCCUUCUUUUUUCUUUUUUUUUUUUUUUUGUUUGUUUUGUUUUUAAUUUAUCAUUUUCCAAUCCGAAAUCAGCUUUUUACGGACCGAAACAAUGAACGGCAAAAAACCGACAAUGGGAAGGCAGAGUGUUUCGAGGCUCCAAGAAGCUCAUAGGCACGGGUGAGGAAUAGCUCGAGGCCAACGAGGUUGGGGGAUGGGUCGAACUCUUCUCCGAAGGCGAUAAGAGGUUCGGAUUGGUCCUUAAUUUGCUCCCUGAGUUGAUUUUAUUAAUCAAUUUUAGCUUCAUUAGUUUGUUCGUUCUAUUUUCACCUCAAUUCACAUGGUUUUUGUUUCAAUUUUGGUGGUAUAUUAGCCGCAGCUUCGUUUUUUUUUUUUGGGUCUGUUUGGUUAAUAAGAAAGUGAAAGGAAGAGUAAGAAAUUAUGGUUCGAGUGUCUGACGGUUUUUACAAGUUUGUUCUUAUGGCAAGGGACAGCAGAAAAAAAAAAUAAAAAAUGUAAAUGGGAGAAAGCUAAAUCUUUUCCAUUUUCACUUUGUUUAAAGUAUCAGAUGGAAACGACUUGGCAUAAAAAACACGUUAGUGGAAGUGAUGAAUGCCUCAUUGUAAUUUUGCAGUCACCUUUGGAAGAUCAAGAACCACAAAAGUCUUUAAGUUGCGUUGUUAUCAUCUAUAAAUAUCAUCUAGUCCCAGUUGAGCUUAAUUGGACUUAGACCUCCCAGAGGAUAACCAUCAUAUGUCACGGGUAUCUAUUAUGUAUGUGCUAGCUUGAGUUAGUUUUCUAUAAUCAUGGAAAAUGGAUUUUUGGUCUUUUUGAUAGAUUGGGCAAUAUAAAGUCUCCACAUCAUUCUAAUAGUAUUUCUAAGUUGCUCAGCAGUGCAACAGAUCAUAAAAAGAAGCCCAGGGCAGAACAGGUGUUAGUUCAUAUUUUAGGCGGCAUGAAGCAGCCCUAACACGCCGCCACUGGCGUCUAAUGCUUUCAUCUAAUUUGAAAAUCUUUUGGCUGUAAUUAUUUCUCUGCCACGGAUUAAUCACAUCAUUCUAUGUUCAGAUUAUACAAUUAGCUUCAACUUCUCAGAAUGGCCAGUUUUUUUGCUUGGGUGGUUGUGGAAGUAAUCAUGCAUUAGACUCCUUUAAUUGUUCCUUGAGUAUUUUACCUCAAUUCUAAAGCUCCGUUAGAAGGAAAAUUUCUAGGAUACUCCCUCACGGUAGGCAGGCUUAUAAUCUCUAUGAGGUAUUUCUGGUGAAACUUCUGAAGUAAUAAUUAUGAUUCCGUUUCCUUUUUUUUCUUGUGUGAAAGGGUUUCUAACUCUAAAUUUUCUUUUCUUUCUAUGAGUUUGGUAGGUCAUAAUUGAUGAAGAUCAGUUUAGAGCAGAAAGCAAAAACCUGUCAGCUCUUCUUGCAGAUCUAGAAGUUCAGGUGACAUUGGAGUUUAAUGCAGUUGUUCAGAUUGGAUGCAUCUGUAAGGAGGAUAAAACUGCUAAGAAGUGAAAUGUCCAAGAUAGCUGGGGUCUGAGUGAAUUGCAGAUGAAGACUACUACAGAAUGCUCUUAUCUGGAGCACUUCUCUUUCUUUUACUUGAAUCACAGGUACACAGUAUCUGUUGUGGUGGUGAAUCUUUAUCAGAAUAAAGAUUUGUCUCCGUCUUUUAUUGAAAGACAAUUCCGUGAAGCUUGCCAAGCUUUGUCCAUUAAGCCCCCUCCAUGAAAUGAAAUAAUUUUCAUGGUGGAAUAUGUUGGGCAUAUCAAGGAUGCUUUAAUGGUGGUACAAGGAGCAACAUAUGAGCACAGUUUUAUUAGCACGGUGUGAAAGACCUUAUAGUCAUCGGUUCGACUAUCAUAACCAAAUCCAGAAACACAAGAAGCAUUGCGGCGAUAUUGCGGAUGGGUGAUUUCUGGGAGUUUUUUGUAUGCCCUAAUGCAAGGGUUCCAUAGGUAUGUAGAGGGAAAUUGAUGCUUUACAUUAGUCUUUUUUGUCAAGCAAAGCAAACCAUUACAGGAACCAAUCACAUCAAAUUUCGACGACGAUGACGAGGAGUCCAUUCUUGGAAUUUUCAGAAUCUCUAAAAGCUCAUGGUCCUUAUCUUUGUGUUUGAUCUUUUGACAUCGUGGGAAACAGGUUAAAUAUCCAUGUUGCUUGGUGGCGCACCAAUUGGCAUGCAUUGUAAUGAACCUGGAAUCGGUGAGGAUUUGAUACCAAGUUUUGCAUACGGUUCUAAGUUGGAGAAUGAUUUUCACAGAAAGUCUAGACAAGAUGUUUGUUAGGAGCUCCGUUGGUAAUUCAGACAACCUACAAUGUGUUUUUCUUCUAUAAACUUUAUAAUUCAUCGUUUCUUCCUCUAAUAGAGUCAGAAGACAAUAGUGUACGACUGAGGUUUAUAUGUUAGUGCUUUGGAAUGGAAAACGGGCUGGUAUAAUUACCCAGAUUAUAUUUUUCUUUUUUAUUUAUGUUCAAGUUUGACUAGGAAAUUAACUUUAUUUGUAUUUCCUUUAUAUAUUUAGCAAAAUUGGGUAUGAUCAAUUAC